CCUCGGUGCGUUCCCGGUGCUGGCCGCCGCCGCGCUCGCUCCCCGCGCUGGCUUCAGGAGCGACCCGGCCGAAAUGAAGUUGAAAAUAGCACAGGAGCCCACUAUCACUGUGUGAACAUUUUGUGAAUGAAGACAUGUAUGAAAGGAUGUUUGGAGGCUUCAAGAAACGAAAGCCGAGAGUCUAGCUAGACCAGAGCCAUCCAGCCCAGGAGCGAUGGCCACGUGUGGCCGCUGGACACGAGAGACGUGGCCAGUCCAAACUGUGCAGUGCGGUUGAAAAAAACAUUUUGGAUAUAUGGUGUUAAAUAAACAUGAUUACAAUGACUUUCGCUGUCAGCCUCCCGGAGGCUCAUUUUGCUCCUCUGGGCCACAGCCAGCUCAGAGGGUUGCUCUAGGAAAUAUCUACACGUUCUUGAAGCACAGGUUUAUGUGCCAGGCACUGUACUAAGUGCUGGGGACACGGCGUUAAGACCAGGCCCUCACGGAGCCCUCACUCUCUGAGGAGGAACAAUAAGUCAGAGAGCGCGCGAGUGCAGCCCUUCAGGCAAAGGAUUUCAGGCCCAGGUCAGGAAGGCCUUGUCUGAGGAGUCUGAGAAGAAGUCAAUUGACAACAGCUAGAACAUCUAGGUCAGGCACUCCAGGCCGACACGACAAAGCAGGUGCAAAGGCCCCAGGGCGGGAACCAGCGUGGCUUGUUCACAGAACAAGGAGGUAGAUCGCUUGCCCUUGGGACCAAAGGAAGGCUCUGGAUUUUAUUCUAGGGGCAGUGGAAGCCGUUGGAGGGCCUCAGGCAGGAACACAAGGUGUCGUGGCAGAAAGGAAGAAGGGGCCGGGCACGGUGGCCCACACCCGUCAUCCCAGCACUUUGGGAGGGAGGCCAAGGCAGGAGGAUCGCUUCAAUCCAGGAGUUCAAGAUCAGCCUGGGCAACACAGCAAGACCCCGUCUCUACUAAAACCCUAAAACUUAGCCAGGCUUGGUGGCAUGUGCCUAAGGUCCCAGGUCCUCGGGAGACUAAGGCAGGAGGAUUGCUUAAGCCCAAGAGUUUGAGGCUGCAGUGAACUAUUAUCACACCACUGCACUCAGCCUGGGUGACAGAGUGACUCUGUCUCAAAACUAAAUAAAUAAACAAUAAUUGUGUUAUUCUGUCUCCAUUUCUCGCAUACUGAAUUUAAGGUGGACUCAGCCAGCGGGUUCAGGCCCAGGGUCUGUCCUGCAGCUACAGUCAGGGUUGGUGGCUGCAGCUGUCAUGGGGGAGCGGUGAGGUUGGGGGAACAGGGGGGCUGGCCUGCAUCCCCCACUUUCAGGUGGGCUCAACUCCGUCUCGUGGCCUAUUGGGGGCCAGCAUGGGCUUCCUUACAGCAUGGAGGCCUCCAGGGUCAAGCUGCCUCUGGGAUGGCAGAGGGCUUUGUGUUCGUGCUCCCACGCCCACAGUGGAGGCAAUACACCCUUUCCAGAUCUAGCAGUACAGGUGCGCAGCACCACACCUCUGUACGCUCUCAGCCUAAGCUGUCCCCAGCCCUCCUGGCCUCUGGAGGAGGGGACGCAGAAACUCCAUCCCGGACAGAGGGAGAGCCAGUGUGUGCACAGGCAGCUUCUAACACUGCUUCGUGGUUUCACACGGCUCCCUCAUGGAGAAGGGGCUGGAGGAGGACAGGGAGGUGUGCAGUCAUCUGGGUGACAUAUGAGGGUGGCUGGGCUUCCAGAUGGCUGCAGUGGAGACCGUAAGAAGAGUGCACGAGGUAAGGCUUCCGAAACGCCCAGCAGGUUCCUGGCAGCUGCAGACAACUCAAUUCUUAGCACUUGCCAAUAGCUGGGGUGUAAACACUCCCGCCGUCGCUAUUUCGGGCUAUGCUCCUUGCCUCCACUGGGUCUGGCUCUUAAAACAGCAAGAAAGCAACUCGGAAGCUGAGUCAGCCCCGUCUCUCCACCGUGCCCACAGAUCCUUCCCUGUUCCAGAGCUCCCGUUGGCAGCCAGCUGGGCUUCUCAGGGGGCAUCUCCAGUCCUGUGCAGUCAGAGAAAACCAGGGAAGCAUCUUGAUCUCACCUAGAAAUUAAGGCCAUCACAUCCAACACCUGCAUUUUACAGGUGAGGAGGCUGACAUUACAAGUAGUGGUGGUGGUGACAUUUGAACCCAGACCCCUGUCCUCCGGGGCCUGUUUCCCUGGGAGCUGCGGACUCUGCGUGGAGACACAGAAAUAGAGACCCAGAUGGCUCCCGUAGAAACAGAGUCACCCCCCAGGGCAGCUGGAAGGGAGUGGGAGAGGACAGGUCCUCAAGGGCCUCUGCUCUCCACUUCCCUCCCCGCCUCGCCGUGUCCUCUCCCUUCCUCUCUCCAACCCCUGCAGGGGGAGGCCUGGCUGGGAAGAGACGUUUUCUGAGUAGAUGUUUUGGCUGGGCAGACUGAGCUUUGAGAAGCAGCCAGGCCGAGCGGGGCUAGGGAGUGAGGGCAUUGGGGAGCCUGAACUUUAGUGACCACUGCCCCUCCCAGGCCAAAGCCGCAAACCCCUCCCAUCCCCAAGGGCUUCAGACUCAAGGCCCAAGUUCCUGCA
rnacentral:lncRNA from 1 species